AAUAUAAAACGUGUUUUUGUGUUUCGUGUUUCAACAGAAACUUCGUGAUGCCGGAGUCGAGCUGCCGGAGGAAAGAAAGAAAAGAGCCGGACCUCAGGAGGAGAACAAGACUCUGAAGGAGGAGGUGAAGACCCUGAAGGAGGAGCUGGACAACUCCAAGAAAGCUCUGCAGAAGUCGGACAGCGACGUUCGUGCGAUGAAGAAACAAGCUGAGAAUCUGACGGUGGAGUACGACAGACUGCUGGAGGAACACAGCAAGCUGCUGGCGACUAGCGACAAGAAAUCCGACUGAGAUGAACGAAGACGGAUUCCCAGCUUCUCUCUUCUUCUUCAUCUUCAUCAUCGUCACCAGCGAUGUGACGUCGCGUCUCUUUUUUCUGGAUCAGCUGACGUUGUGGAUUUGGUUGUUCUACGUGGUUAAAUGAUAAAAUGUCUUCUGACUGUCGGAGCUUCAAGAGAAGAUCGGCGGUUGUUUGUGAAACUUUUUUUUUUUUUUCUGUGAAACAUGAAAUCUGAUCAUUUUAUUCCAAAGAUCUGAGGUCCAAUGUUUAUAAGACUCAAACUAGAGUUUAAAUAUUCCACAUCAAGGGUUCUGUUUCCUGAACUGACGACGGUUUGAUGAAUGUUUACUUUGUACGAGUUCAGCUGUUCAUCAGGUAACUUAACGUCUAAAUAAAAGGUUAUGAACUCGGCAGACUUUCAGAUUCUUUAGUUCUUCUUCAUCCCAACAAACACAGUUCAUCUUUUCGUGCUUAAGGUUUCAUCACUUUGUUGUUUUAAGAGUCGGUUGUUUGUUUGAAGUCUUUAAAGAGAAACUUGACUUCCUGUUCAUUUCAUCAUCAUGACGUCAUAACGUCUAACUGAGCUGAAGUCUGUUCAUCACGAUGGACGUGAGUUUAAAAAGAGCCGGAGGGAAGUUUAUAUUCACAGACAAGUCUGGAUGCUGAUGAUAAUGAUACUAAUGGUAUGAUGUCGUUACUUAUUGUUUCUUUACCUUCAGUGAUCCUUAAACUUGUAGUUUCAAACAGGUUUCACUGACGUCAGUCUGAAAGAUCUGAGUGUGAAUUUAGUUUUUCUAAACUCAUGUUGCAUCUCUUCCGGAUGGAAGAGGCUCCUCCCUUCUUGUGAUUGUUUAAUUAAAUCAGCCGUUUCUGUCUGUUUGAACACAUGAACCUUAAAUCGGCUUCAUGACAAACAUUCAGAUCCUCUGAUUCACAGAUCAAUCUCUCCACUGGGGCAACAACCGCCUUUAUUUUGAAAAUCCUUCAGGCUGACCCCAUGUGUCGCCUGACGACUCUCUCUCCUGUAAACGUGUUCAGGGAGCAGAUCGUUCCAGUCAAACCAUCGAUCGGAUGUUUCCUCGUGUCACCGCUCAUGAAAGGUUGAGUCCAUAAGGUUCUCACUCCGCCCGUUUCUUUUCUUAUGUUUACGUUUAUUUUCUCCGUUUGCUGAACUUUGUUCAAAGAAAAGUUCUGGAAACGGAAACAAACACAAACGAUUCAUUUAAAUCACUUUAUUUCAUGUUCUUGAUUGUUUCUGACACCGAACAUUCAUUUAUUCUGUUUUUUUGUUUCUCAGAUGUUCAGACAAAUGUUUUAUGAUGAAAUAUAAACUUUUAGGUAAAAUGUUAAACAGACCAAACUCAUGAUAUUAAUGUAUUUAAACACGCGACGGAAACUUCUUCUCUGCUUUUCUUCUUCUGUGGUUUUUAUUUUCUCGUGUUUUGAAGACAGUUAACUUGUGUUAAACUCUAUAGAGGGCGCUGCUCAGGUGCAUCAUGGGAUCAUGUGUUCAGGUGCAUCAUGUCUGAGGUGAACUGUAUCUGGACUAUGAAGUGAUGAAAUAAACCUCUACAGGUA